GGAGAUCUUACAGAGGAGGUUUAUGUUGCUCAGCCGCCAGGGUACGAGGUGAUCGGCAAGGAAGGAAGUGUGUUGCGCCUCCGUAAAGCACUGUAUGGGCUGCAUCAGGCGCCACGAGCAUGGUAUGCAAAGCUCGAUGAGACUCUCUCCUCUCUUGGUUUCACACGGAGCGGUCUCGAGCAUGCAGUGUACAGACGAGGUAACACAAAAUCGUUUCUGCUGGUGGGGGUCUAUGUCGAUGAUCUGAUCAUCACAGGAACAAAUACAGCAGAUAUAAUCUCCUUCAAGGACCAGAUGAAGCAACUCUUUAAGAUGAGUGAUCUUGGACAGCUGAGUUAUUAU
rnacentral:rRNA from 1 species